AAAGUUAUAAUGCCCUCGUUCGAUGCCACUCGUGGCCAGUCAAACAGUUACCGCACUAGGAAAAGAGUUGUGAGAUAAAUUGCAAAAAAAAGGAGAGAACACCUCUGAGUGAGUUGGAGAUGAAGUGAAUCGAGUCUGGAAAAGCAAACGCACUAAUUUUCACGUACAUGGGACGAAGCGCUAACGAGGGGUGCGAUUGCUAACUGCUCUUCGUCUUUGGUGGUGCCCGUGGGACUACAAAUUGAAUCACGAUGGCGGACUGAGGGCUGAUGGUUGAGGCCACCACCCAGACCAUUCUCAGCGCACCCCUUUUCCCUCUCCCACCCACCUCAAAACUUUGCUACCGAUAAUCCUGAGGUCGUUCAUUUAUCACUCUGAAAGGGGCCCACAAGCGCUAAAGUGUCCAAGAUGAGGAAGUGAAAGGUAAAUGUAGUAUACAUGAGACGACAGUGGGGAGGACGUAGCAUUAAUUAGCUCUGUACGAACGGAUGUCAACAGCGGAGAGGGUGAAUAAGAGUAGCCAGCCACCCCCUCACGCCCGCCAUCAGGAUUGAGGGUAGAUAAAUGACCGAAAUUCGUAUCCCAUCGGGCGAGGAUAAUGCGUCUAGUCGAACUCUGACCUGGUCGAGUCCUUGGAACAAAAUUGAAUUUGUAAGUUCGUUCGUGCCGUCAGCCUUACAAAUGUCUCAGCUUGAGGCCCUUCCUGCCCUCUGUUUUUUCGGCUGAUUGGUCCUACCAAUUCCCAUGCAUACGGCUAUGGGUUCUACACUGUACCGCAUCUACACUCAUAGAAUAGGAGAGAGUUGGCAUGAGAAACUAUAGGAAAUACUCAUACCAGAGCACAGGCGACUGCCUUAUCGAUAGCCCAAAUAUAAGACGGAAAAUUAAUACAGCGUUGCAUAUCUUGUGAGGUAGGAAUGCGGA